CGAGCCGGGCGGACGGCCGCGUGGAGUCCCCUUGAGGGGCUCCCCGAGGAACGUCCGGGCUCCACAGGGCAGGGUGGUGGCUAACGGCCACCUGGGGCGACCCACGGGACAGUGCCACAGAAAACAAACCGCCCGGCACUUCGGUGCCGGGUAAGGGUGAAACGGCGGUGUAAGAGACCACCAGUGCCCAGGGUGACCUGGGCAGCUAGGUAAACCCCACCCGGAGCAAGGUCAAAAGGAGCGCCGUGAAAAGCGCUCUGCGGGGACGUUCGAGGGCUGCCCGCCCAAGUCCCCGGGUAGACCGCACGAGGCCGGUGGCAACACCGGCCCUAGAUGGAUGGCCGUCACCCCGACUCCCGCGAGGGACCGGGGAACAGAACCCGGCGUACAGCCCGACUCGUCUG
rnacentral:RNase_P_RNA from 1 species